GGGGCGGUAGCUCAGUCGGUUAGAGCCACGCACUCAUAAUGCGUAGGUCGUGGGUUCGAGCCCCACCCGCCCCA
rnacentral:tRNA from 1 species